rnacentral:rRNA from 1 species
GGAGUUAGCCGGUGCUUCUUCUGUGAGUGAUGUCCUUCCUGCCGGCUAUUAACCCGCAGGCCUUCUUCCUCACUGAAAGUGCUUUACAACCCGAAGUCCUUCUUCACACACGCGGCAUGGCUGGAUCAGGGUUGCCCCCAUUGUCCAAUAUUCCCCACUGCUGCCUCCCGUAGGAGUCUGGGCCGUGUCUCAGUCCCAGUGUGGCUGAUCAUCCUCUCAGACCAGCUACGGAUCGUCGCCUUGGUGAGCCGUUACCUCACCAACCAGCUAAUCCGACAUAGGCUCAUCCGAUAGCGCGAGGCCCGACGGUCCCCCGCUUUCCCCCGUAGGGCGUAUGCGGUAUUAGCCUGGGUUUCCCCAGGUUAUCCCCCACUACCGGGCAGAUUCCUAUGCAUUACUCACCCGUCCGCCGCUCGCCACCAGGGAGCAAGCUCCCCGUGCUGCCGCUCGACUUGCAUGUGUUAGGCCUGCCGCCAGCGUUCAAUCUGAGCCAGAAUCAAACUCUGA